rnacentral:rRNA from 1 species
AUUGAACGCUGGCGGCAUGCCUUACACAUGCAAGUCGAACGGCAGCGCGGGGGCAACCCUGGCGGCGAGUGGCGAACGGGUGAGUAAUAUAUCGGAACGUACCCAAGAGUGGGGGAUAACGUAGCGAAAGUUACGCUAAUACCGCAUACGAUCUAAGGAUGAAAGUGGGGGACCGCAAGGCCUCACGCUCCUGGAGCGGCCGAUAUCUGAUUAGCUAGUUGGUGGGGUAAAGGCCUACCAAGGCAUCGAUCAGUAGCUGGCCUGAGAGGACGACCAGCCACACUGGGACUGAGACACGGCCCAGACUCCUACGGGAGGCAGCAGUGGGGAAUUUUGGACAAUGGGGGCGAACCCUGAUCCAGCAAUGCCGCGUGAGUGAAGAAGGCCU